rnacentral:rRNA from 1 species
AGCGAACGCUGGCGGCAGGCCUAACACAUGCAAGUCGAACGAACCUUUCGGGGUUAGUGGCGGACGGGUGAGUAACACGUGGGAACGUGCCUUUAGGUUCGGAAUAACUCAGGGAAACUUGUGCUAAUACCGAAUGUGCCCUUCGGGGGAAAGAUCUAUCGCCUUUAGAGCGGCCCGCGUCUGAUUAGCUAGUUGGUUGAGGUAAUGGCUCACCAAGGCGACGAUCAGUAGCUGGUCUGAGAGGAUGAUCAGCCACAUUGGGACUGAGACACGGCCCAAACUCCUACGGGAGGCAGCAGUGGGGAAUCUUGCGCAAUGGGCGAAAGCCUGACGCAGCCAUGCCGCGUGAAUGAUGAAGGUCUUAGGAUUGUAAAAUUCUUUCACCGGGGACGAUAAGGACGGUACCCGGAGAAGAAGCCCCGGCUAACUUCGU